UUAAGUUAAAAUGAGGCCAUUAGGGUGUGCUCUAAUUUAAUCUGAUUAGUGUCCCUACAGGAAGAAGAAAUUUGGAUACACAAAACAAACACCAGGAGUGCAUGUCCACUAAGGAAAGACCAUGUAGGGACACAGUUGGGAGGCAGCCAUCAGCAAGCCAAGGAGAGAGGUCUCAGGAGAAAUCAACUCUGCUCACACCUGGAUCUUGGACUUCUAACUUUCAGAACUGUGUGUGAUGACACGUUUUCCAUGAAUAUUCUGAUGCAGGGAUGGGCAUUUGCUCAAUGCAAGGUUCCUUAGGACUUCCUCUCCAGAUACCACUGAAGUUCACCAAUAACUGAAUGAGAGCAGAGACCAGGUAUGUCAUGAGACUCAAACCAAACUGCUCUACUAUUGGAGAGGUCAUCCAGCUUCGUUGGAAGAAGAGCUGUGAAUGACAGCCUAAACAAAGUUUU